rnacentral:tRNA from 1 species
GUGGACGUGUCAGAGUGGUUAUCAGGCAUGACUAGAUAUCAUGUGGGCUCGCACAGGUUCGAAUCCUGUCAUCCACA